rnacentral:rRNA from 1 species
CGCCUUUUGAUUUAUUAACAUAAAAGGUCCUGCCUGCCCAGUGACACCUGUUCAACGGCCGCGGUAUUAUGACCGUGCAAAGGUAGCGUAAUCACUUGUCCUUUAAAUGAAGACCAGUAUGAACGGCAAGACGAGAGCCUAACUGUCUCUCUACAUUAGUCAAUGAAAUUGAUUUUUUCGUGCAGAAGCGAAAAUAUUAUUAUAAGACGAGAAGACCCUGUGGAGCUUCAAGCCUAAACUAGUUAUUUAAUAUAAUGUAGCUAAGGGCUUUAGGUUGGGGCGACCACGAGGCAUAAUAAAACCCUCAAGAAAAAACCGUAGAAGGACACUUCAAAUAACAAAAUAUUGAUAUGUUGACCCAAAAAUUGAUCAACGAACCAAGUUACCCCAGGGAUAACAGCGCAAUCCACUCAAAGAGUCCUUAUCGACGAGCGGGUUUACGACCUCGAUGUUGGAUCAGGACCCCCCAAUAAUGUAACAAUUAUUAAAGG